rnacentral:rRNA from 1 species
UACGUAGGGUGCAAGCGUUGUCCGGAAUUAUUGGGCGUAAAGAGCUCGUAGGCGGUUUGUCGCGUCGAAUGUGAAAACCCGGGGCUCAACCCCGGGCCUGCAUUCGAUACGGGCAGACUAGAGUUUGGUAGGGGAGUCUGGAAUUCCUGGUGUAGCGGUGAAAUGCGCAGAUAUCAGGAGGAACACCGGUGGCGAAGGCGGGACUCUGGGCCGAUACUGACGCUGAGGAGCGAAAGCGUGGGGAGCAAACAGG